AGGUACCACAAACCUUCUGACAGAAGGAAAAUGUCCCUGUGCAUUGCUGACAGCCUCAUGUUUCUGUCCGCGCUUGCUCUGGUCUGGCUGUUUUGGGCUCCAGAAAGCGGGACAAUCGAACCCUUUUGAGGUUGGUGUCAGACUGGGUCAUGUGAAGGAAGCAAACGAAUGUUCUGGAGUGGACUGCAUUCUUCUGACAAAAAAGAGAAAAUAAACGUGCAGCAGCUUCUCUCUGGCUAAUGAAUGGUCUUUGCUCCCUUUAGUCUUUGUAAUGGUCACGGAAGACGACUAGCUCUCACUGCAGACGACCCCUCGGCACAGUGGAAACCCAGCACGUUUUUAAUGAAGCUGGCCCUGUCUGUUCAUUGAGAUUAGGAGUUUAUCUCUUGGAGGUAAACCAGUCGGUUGCCAUGGUAAAACUUUACAAAUUGGAUCAAAGGAAGGACAGAAAACAGAAAGAAAUGUGGAACAAUAGCUGAAAAAAGCACUGCUGCCCACUCAAGAGUUCAGUACAAGCACACCAACCACUCUUCUUUGCUGUUAGCAGCAUGGCGAUGGUCGCUGAUGAAGGCUGGGAUACGCAUUUACGUUGAUGUCUGGUGAGCAUCCUAGUGCAAAAUGGCUGCCAUGCAUCACCCAGGUGGGUCCUGAACAUUGGUGGUGGUUGAGGCUCCUCUGCAAUGCUGCUGUCAUCACCGCCACUGACCCCCCCGCUCCUUCUGAAGGCUAUCAAGCCUGCAGUGGCCUGCUAGUAGCGUGCCAGCAGCACAGCUGCCCAUCCCCCAGAGGUUUGCAGCUACAGUCCCCGAGCAAGCAGCUGAAGCCAGGCAGUCGAGAUGGGGAUCAGCUGGGCCAGCGUUGGUGUUUACCUGGAUCGUUUCGCCAGUGUUCUGUGGCCGCAACCUUUCCGGCCUGGAGGCGCAGAAGAGCAGUCAUGGGCAGGGGCCCCCCAGCCGAGAGGCACUGCGCUCACUAUUGCCAUCAUGGCGAAAUCGGCACAGUGAAAGCACACCUCCGUGCACUGAUUCAGAAUAGUGCUUUAUUGGAUGUUACAAGGAUACCAUUUCUGUGAUGCCGCAUCUUUCAAAAUGGCUCCUUAUGCUGUAAGAGCUAACAAUUACAUUUAAUGUCCAUUUCCAGUUAGUUGCUUUGUAAAAAUGGCAACAUUAAAGCCAAGUAUUUACCCCUCCCCCUCCACCCAGUAGUCCUGUUAAGUGGAUGUUUACUCAACAUAAUUGUUAAAAAGUUCUUGCAGCACCAGUUACAAUGUCCUCUCAGCUGAGACGCAGUGUGAGCAAAUGAAGAGCGUCCUUUGACCUUGAUUAGGACACAGUACCAGCAUGUUCAUGUGAAAUAUCUCAACCUGUCUGCAGUAACCAGCGCCUUUCAAGUUUUACUGAUACUUAAACAACACACGUAAAGUUUACAAUUCUACACCAAGCGGAAAAACUGCCUUUUCUUUGUUUUCAUUAGUCGUCUUGUGUUCCAUCUGUAAGUCACGACAAAAGGAAGCCACAAAAACAGCCUCUGAUUGUAAUCAUACACUUGGAUCAUACGAGUUCUCCACAUUCACAAAACUAAGCUUAUUUCGCUUGGCAAAAUAAAGACUUGCGCUUGGAAUUUGUGCCAGUAAUGGACUGAUUCCUCUUUGUAGCGGCCACUACAGAUAUCAAUUUUCCACUUUGGACUUGUGACUUACGCAAUAUUUGAAUAUUUA